CACCGCGGUUAGACGAGAGGCCCCAGUUGAUACAUUCGGCGUAAAGAGUGGUUAUGGGGACAUAACACUAAAGCCAAAGACCCCUCAAGCAGUCAUACGCACUCAGGAGUUCGAAGCACCAGCACGAAAGUCGCUUUACUUUACUCACCAGAACCCACGACAGCCGGGGAG
rnacentral:rRNA from 1 species